rnacentral:rRNA from 1 species
UGGGGAAUAUUGCACAAUGGGCGGAAGCCUGAUGCAGCGACGCCGCGUGAGGGAUGACGGCCUUCGGGUUGUAAGCCUCUUUCAGUAGGGACGAAGCGUAAGUGACGGUACCUGCAGAAGAAGCACCGGCUAACUACGUGCCAGCAGCCGCGGUAAUACGUAGGGUGCGAGCGUUGUCCGGAAUUACUGGGCGUAAAGAGCUCGUAGGCGGUUUGUCACGUCGUCUGUGAAAUCCGAGGGCUUAACCCUGGACGUGCAGGCGAUACGGGCUGACUUGAGUACUACAGGGGAGACUGGAAUUUCUGGUGUAGCGGUGGAAUGCACAGAUAUCAGGAAGAACACCGAUGGCGAAGGCAGGUCUCUGGGUAGUAACUGACGCUGAGGAGCGAAAGCAUGGGUAGCGAACAGG